GGGGAAUAUUGGGCAAUGGGGGGAACCCUGACCCAGCGACGCCGCGUGAGGGAAGAAGGUUUUCGGAUUGUAAACCUCUGUCAUGCGGGACGAAGGAAGUGACGGUACCGCAUGAGGAAGCCCCGGCUAACUACGUGCCAGCAGCCGCGGUAAAACGUAGGGGGCGAGCGUUGUCCGGAAUUACUGGGUGUAAAGGGUGCGUAGGCGGCUUAGCAAGUCGUAUGUGAAAGUUGCCGGCUUAACCGGCGGAGUGCAUAUGAAACUGUUGAGCUUGAGUGCAGGAGAGGCAAGCGGAAUUCCUAGUGUAGCGGUGAAAUGCAUAGAUAUUAGGAGGAACACCAGUGGCGAAGGCGGCUUGCUGGACUGCAACUGACGCUGAGGCACGAAAGCGUGGGUAGCGAAC
rnacentral:rRNA from 1 species